GCUCGAAUCCCUGGCCUCACAUUGGAUAACAUCAACAGAGAACACGCACUCGGCUGUACGUCACCAGGGGCGUCACACGGGGCGUGGCCAUAUCCGUCAGUCAAUGGAUUAGAGGGCGUAGCUACCGAAUCUGACUUCUCGAAAGCCUCUUGGUUGUCCCAGUCGAGUACAGGUUGUAACCCGUGCGGCUUCCCGUACCCCACCAAAUCAGGAA